rnacentral:rRNA from 1 species
UACAGAGGUCCCGAGCGUUGUCCGGAUUUAUUGGGCGUAAAGAGCGUGUAGGCGGCCAAGCAGGUCAGCUGUGAAAACUCGAGGCUCACCUCGAGACGUCGGUUGAAACCGUUUGGCUAGAGUCCGGAAGAGGAGAGUGGAAUUCCCGGUGUAGCGGUUGAAAUGCGCAGAUAUCGGGAAGAACACCCGUGGCGAAGGCGGCUCUCUGGGACGGUACUGACGCUGAGACGCGAAAGGCGUGGGGAGCGAACAGG